UUGCUUUGGCAGCACAUACACUAACAUUGGAAUGAUGCAGAGAAGAUGAGCAUGGUCUUGGGCAAGGAUGUCACACAAAUUCACGAAGCACUCCUUAUUUUU